rnacentral:rRNA from 1 species
GCCCCAGUAAACGGCGGCCGUAACUAUAACGGUCCUAAGGUAGCGAAAUUCCUUGUCGGGUAAGUUCCGACCUGCACGAAUGGUGUAACGAUUUGGGCACUGUCUCAACCACGGGCUCGGUGAAAUUGUGGUACCGGUGAAGACGCCGGUUACCCGCAUAUGGACGGAAAGACCCCGUGCACCUUUACUGCACCCUAAUAUUGGGUUCGGAUAAAGCAUGUGUAGCAUAGGUGGGAGGCUUUGAAACCGGGACGCUAGUUUCGGUGGAGCCAACAUUGAAAUACCACCCUUGUUUUAUUUGGAUUCUAACCUCGAUCCAUGAAUCUGGAUUAGGAACAGUGUUAGGCGGGUAGUUUGACUGGGGCGGUCGCCUCGACCGCAUUAUAAAUGAGGGGCGUUCGCAUGGUAACAUGCGUUUCAUAAUCUGGCUGUAUGCUGGAACAUCCGUUCACAAAUCCUUCAUAGUAAGAAUUUAGUGAUGUAGAAUCUGUUGGGACUCGUCUCAAUUAUAUUGAGGCAGUAAAACUUCAACAGUGCGGACAAUCAGCAGGGAAGUCUGCCGUCGGCGGACCCCUCAACGACUAUACGCCGGACCCCCAAUUUCGGGGGAUGAUAUAGUCUGAUCUUCAUAGCGAUAUGAAGUUCCGAUUUGAUCGGGAUUCCAAAGUCAACAAUAUAUAAACUCUUAAAACUAACAUGCAUUCACGUAAAAUUGAAAGAACUAAAUCAUCAUUGAAGUUAAGUGAUGAACAGCGUGAGGUUCUAGUUGGAUUACUUCUCGGAGAUGCUCAUUUAGAAACACAAAAUGAUGGCAAAACAUACAGAGCAAAAUUUGAAUACAGCAUUAAACAUAGAUUGUAUGCAAAUCAUCUGUAUGAAAUUUUUAGAGAGUGGGUUCUAACCCCUCCUCAAAUAAAGCAGGAUAAAACUCAUAAUAAUAUAUGGUUUCAGACUGUAAGCCAUGGUGCGUUUCGCUUCUAUGCACAUCAAUUCUAUGAUGGCAAGAAUAAAUGUGUUCCGAAAUUAAUUCAUCAUUAUCUUACUAAUAAAUCAGUUGCUUACUGGUUUAUGGAUGAUGGUUCAAUCAAAUCACAUGAAUCAAAAGGUGUUAUUUUCAACACCCAGUAUUUUGUUAAAAGAGAUGUGCAGCGGUUGAUAAAAUGUUUGCAAAAUUACUUCGACCUCGAAGCAAGCGUUCGCAAACAGAAAGAUGGACUUCAGAUUUACAUUUCCGGGAAAUCAUACGAACGAUUUCUUGAAAUAGUUUUUCCUUAUGUUCAUACAUCAAUGCACUACAAAAUUCCGGUCUGCAGAAGAAGCAGACAAGUUGACAGGAAAACAUAAUGCCUAAAAUGUAACGGAGGCUCUCAAAGGUUCCCUCAGCAUGGUUGGUAAUCAUGCGGCGAGUGUAAAGGCAAAAGGGAGCUUGACUGCGAGACUUACAAGUCGAGCAGGUGCGAAAGCAGGACUUAGUGAUCCGACGGUAGCGAGUGGAAGUGCCGUCGCUCAAAGGAUAAAAGGUACGCCGGGGAUAACAGGCUGAUCUUACCCAAGAGUUCAUAUCGACGGUAAGGUUUGGCACCUCGAUGUCGGCUCAUCGCAUCCUGGGGCUGAAGAAGGUCCCAAGGGUUUGGCUGUUCGCCAAUUAAAGCGGUACGUGAGCUGGGUUCAGAACGUCGUGAGACAGUUCGGUCCCUAUCCUAUGCGGGCGCAGGAUACUUGAGAAGGGUCGCUUCUAGUACGAGAGGACCGAAGUGAACGUACCUCUAGUGUACCAAUUGUCACGCCAGUGGCAUCGUUGGGUAGCUAUGUACGGUUGUGAUAAGCGCUGAAAGCAUCUAAGCACGAAACACGCUUCAAGAUUAGGUAUCCCUCUCCGCCUUUGGCGGAGACUAAAGACUCCUCGGAGAUUACGAGGUUGAUAGGCUGCAGGUAUAAGUCCCGUAAGGGAUUCAGCUGAGCAGUACUAAUAAGUCGUGCGGCUUAACCAUUAAUUUUUAUU